GUCGAGCGAGCGGAACUAACAGAUUUACUUCGGUAAUGACGUUAGGAAAGCGAGCGGCGGAUGGGUGAGUAACACGCGGGGAACCUGCCCCAUAGUCUGGGAUACCACUUGGAAACAGGUGCUAAUACCGGAUAAGAAAGCAGAUCGCAUGAUCAGCUUUUAAAAGGCGGCGUAAGCUGUCGCUAUGGGAUGGCCCCGCGGUGCAUUAGCUAGUUGGUAAGGUAAAGGCUUACCAAGGCGAUGAUGCAUAGCCGAGUUGAGAGACUGAUCGGCCACAUUGGGACUGAGACACGGCCCAAACUCCUACGGGAGGCAGCAGUAGGGAAUCUUCCACAAUGGACGCAAGUCUGAUGGAGCAACGCCGCGUGAGUGAAGAAGGUUUUCGGAUCGUAAAGCUCUGUUGUUGGUGAAGAAGGAUAGAGGUAGUAACUGGCCUUUAUUUGACGGUAAUCAACCAGAAAGUCACGGCUAACUACGUGCCAGCAGCCGCGGUAAUACGUAGGUGGCAAGCGUUGUCCGGAUUUAUUGGGCGUAAAGCGAGCGCAGGCGGAAGAAUAAGUCUGAUGUGAAAGCCCUCGGCUUAACCGAGGAACUGCAUCGGAAACUGUUUUUCUUGAGUGCAGAAGAGGAGAGUGGAACUCCAUGUGCAGCGGUGGAAUGCGUAGAUAUAUGGAAGAACACCAGUGGCGAGGGCGGCUCUCUGGUCUGCAACUGACGCUGAGGCUCGAAAGCAUGGGUAGCGAACAGGAUUAGAUACCCUGGUAGUCCAUGCCGUAAACGAUGAGUGCUAAGUGUUGGGAGGUUUCCGCCUCUCAGUGCUGCAGC
rnacentral:rRNA from 1 species